rnacentral:lncRNA from 1 species
ACUUAGAGGGGAGGUACUUGUUUAAUACAUUACAAUUCUGCAUCGCUGACUUGUAUUUCCAGAAUAAGUGCUCCAAAUAAUUUGUGUAUAAUUGUAGCUCUGGCAAGCAUUUGUUGGUGUCAAGGCACGGCGAACAGAUAAAUAUUAUCAAGAAUUGCUCACUUCAGAAUCUAAUCCAGAAAAUCAUGUAGAUGAAAAAUCAGAGAACGAUACUAAAAGUUUGCCAAGAGACCCUGCAUCAACGGAGAAGUGGAAAGG